rnacentral:lncRNA from 1 species
CCAUCUUCAAAGGGCUCACUUAAGGAACAUAAAUGUUGAAAUUUAAAACGACAUCAUAUCCCUUUUUAUAGCCAAAUUUUCAAGUACAGGCCAGUUCAGGAAAAACUUAAACAUUGAGUCAUUUUCAGGAUAAUUAAGUAUAAUGUAAGGGAAUUUACGGGAAACAACCGGAUGCAGGAACAUUGGUAAAAAUUAGACCACAGGGUCAAAACCAUUAGUGUUUUGGACGAUGAAAAUACUAUUAGGCAACUCAAUAAUCUGGUCUCCAUAUGUAGCAGCAUAAAGAUCAAGCUCGAUAAAAUUAUAUUUCUAGCUAAAAGUAGUGUGAAUCCAACUAUCAAUGUGAGAAGAACUGACGGUAUGAAGAUAAUCACAGGCAUGACCGAAUUUUUGGAUAUCCGAUGGAUCAUGGCUGCUCAACAAAAUUUUAAAAGAGCACCAGAAUCAGCAGGAAAAUUCCCUCAGCGGAAAUCUAGAUAGGGUUAGAAACACAUACAUUUUCCCAUCUUGUAGUCAGAGGGCUGUCAGGCAAUGCAGUGAUUCUAUCUCCAUCGCUUGCUUGACGCUUUGAUAUCGAACCCAUUUGUACCCUGAUACUUAAACCUCCCCUCAUCCAUGUCUGGUCAUUUCAGUUAAGAUUGAGUAGAGUAAAUACGAAUUUUUUUUAUUUAAGCUCUAAAUGGAAAUAACUAUAAUCUGCAUUUAGUUUAUCAAUAAAUUCCUUGAAUGCUAAUUCUCUUCCCAGGAUCAUAGAUAUCUACAUAUAAAUAAUUCCAUUUUACUAAUAUUUUUAUUAUUAGAUUUAGGAGAACUAAACACCAUUUUUCUCCUCUUACACACCCUUCUUAUUUUUUGUCACCAAAUUGAAUAAAAUCAAACAAAAUCAUUAACGAAAAUGAUUAACCAGAGGUAUGUAAGGGAGAAAAUUGGUGGUUGGCAGGUUUUGUUUUGUUUGUUCCUUUUUUCCUUGAGAAAAACGACACAAAGUAUAAGACUUAAUUUUCUCAAAUAUUCUUUGGCAGUUUUCUUAGUAACCAAACAGAAAGUUACGGAAUGAUAAGGAAAUCAUUUCUUAUAGGGAAAAUGAUAUAUAACCUGGUAGAGCUGAGCUGCUGUGAUUACCCUGGACAAUACGAACUGGUUAUCACCAUCUCCAUCUCUACAACUCUCUAGGGUUU